AUCAGCGAGACACCGUGGGCGUAGGACCCUCUGAGCCAGGUGUGGGAUAUAAUCUUGUGGUGCGCCGUUUUUAAAGCCGGUCUGAAAAGCGCAAUAUUCGGGUGGGAGUGACCCGAUUUUCCAGGUGAGUCCGUCACCCCUCUCUUUGACUCGGAAAGGGAACUCCCUGACCCCUUGCGCUUCCCAGGUGAGGCAAUGCCUCACCCUGCUUUGGCUUGCGCACGGUGCACGCACCCACUGGCCUGCGCCCACUGUCUGGCACACCCUAGUGAGAUGAACCAGAUACCUCAGACGGAAAUGCAGAAAUCACCCAUCUUCUGCGUCACUCACGCUGGGAGCUGUAGACCGGAGCUGUUCCUAUUUGGCCAUCUUCGGUUCUUGAUUUCUCUUUAUAUCUUCUAUUCCUUUGCUAAGUGAAAGGUAUCGUGCUGUUGCUGGCUGCUGAGAGAAGAGAGUGACCAGAGCCCACUGACUGUAAUACCAUGGAACAGUGUUUGUCUCAGACAGAAGGGCUGGCUUCAAAUCUUUGCUCUGCCAUUCGUCAACCUUGCCCUUGAAUCAGACCCUCACACUCUCUCAACUUCUGUUUUCCUACCUGUAAAAUGGGUGCAAUAAUAUGUGCUGAAGAGAUCUGUGAUGAGAAUUAUUCUCAGAAGGAAUCAUUUUCUUUCCACCUACAAUGUUAGAUCCACCUGAAUGAAAUACGCCUUUCAUUGCGUCCUGAGAAGACGGAAGAAUCAUAAAAAGCCUUCAGAAGCCCUUGAGGAAUUUUGAGGGCAGUAAAAGCAAAGACUGUAAACCGAAGAAAAAUACACAAAGAUGUAAGAGCAGUAAGAGCAAAGUGGGGACAAGGGAUAUUGAGUAUCUGAAGGGAAAAAUAAGAAGCAUAGCCUAUCCUGGAAAAGAAAAGAAACGUCAUGGUAAAAAAACAACUGCGGUUUUUGUGAACACCUACUACGGUAAGGAACAGGCCAGCCAUAGCCCACACCCAGGUGGCUGACAAGAGCUCGCCAGAUCACAGGGCCACCUUCCUGCCUGAGAGCUGGAUGCCCUCUGCAUCUUCCUGGGCUUUACAGCACAUGGGAUCUGUUUACAUGUGGUCUCCGCAGACUCGUGUCAAGAUCCUAAGUCAGUGAAUCCCGAGGGAAGCAAAAGGCAGGGGUGGAAGCAUGGUAAGGAGGUGUAAACACCCUUUUGUAAGCCCCAUGGAGGGGUAUAGGCUUCAACAGGGAGCAGUUUAAGAUACUUUGGAGAUUGACUGUUUGGGGUUAAGUGUUGGCUCCACUACUUAUACUCAUGUGGUUUUAGAUGCUUUUCUUAAUCUCUCUGUGCUCUGGUUUCUGUAAAAUAGUAAUAAGUAUCCUAUUUAGUUAUUUUGAGGACUAAAUAGAUAAUUCCAGCCCUCCAUAUCCCUGGGUUUCUCAUUUGUAAAUUCAACCAACUGUGGGCCAAAAAUAUAUGGAAAAAAAUGGAACGUGUACUCAACAUGUACAGACAUUUUUCUUGUCAUUAUUCUCUAAGCAAUGUAGUAUUCAGCACUAUUUACAUAGCAUUUGCAGUAUAUUAGGUAUUAUAAGUAGCCUAGAGAUAAUUUAAAGGAUGUGGGAAGAUGUAUGUAGGUUACAUGCAAAUAGUACACCAUUUUAUAUAAGGGACUUGAGAAUUUUGGUAACUGAAGGGGCUCCUGGAACCAAUUUCCCAUAGAUACAGAAAAAUGACUGCAUAUGUAAAAGACUUAGCAGUGAGCCUUUUAUAAAUGGUUGCAUUAGUAUUAAUAAAGAAGUAAAUAACACCUAUAAAUAGUUACCCAGGGUUUCCCGGAUUACAGCUGCUAUGGUCUGAAUGUUUAAGUGCUCCCAGAAUUUAUAUGUUGAAACCUAGUCACCAGUGCUAUAAUAUUAAGAAAUGGGGCUUUGGGAGGUGAUUGGGAAUGGCAUUAAUAGCACAGGAACAGAAAACCAAACAUGUUCUCAUUUGUAAGUGGGAGCUGAACAAUGAGAACACAUGGACACAGGGAGGGGAACAACACAUACUGGGGCCUGUCAUGGGGAGGGGAGGAGGGAGGAACAGCAUUAGGAAAAAUAGCUAAUGCAUGCUGGGCUUAAUAUUUUGGUGAUGGGUCUAUAGGUGUAGCAAACCACCAUGGCACAUGUUUACCUAUGUAACAAACCUGCACAUUCUGAACAUGGACCUCGGAACUUAAAAAAAGAAGAUAAAAGGCUUGAGCGAGCCUGUUUGCCCCUUCCACCAUGCGAGGACACAUACAAGGCACCAUCUAUGAGGAACGAGCUCCCAACGAGCUCCCAACAGAUGCUGAUUUUGCUGGUGUCUCGAUCUUGGACAACCUCCAGAAUUUUUAUAUGCUGCCAAAGCACCACUGUCUACUAAGUUUUUGAGGAAACCAUAUUGCUAGAGAAACUGCAAGCCUGAGCAGCCUCCAAUUGUUGAAGACUUACAUCCAUCUUGGACCUCCAAACAUUCAUAAGCAGGAAGCAGGCCUCAAAAACUAUGGCCCCCAAAUGAGGGCUUGUUCCCCAACCCCCACUUUAGACAUGGAGAAGAAGAAUAAUGGACAAGGAGGCUCCUCCCAGAAGGAUCCAAGGACCCCUGAGGUUGGUGGACAAUGGACUUCCAGCACAGAUUGGAAUCAGAACACAAUCAAGGACACUGUCUCUCCAAUAGAAACUCUUCCUAUGUCUGCCCAGAGUAAUUCCUUAACUGUGAUGGACAAAGAGCUGUGGCAUCAUUGCUUUCCAUUUUUUGAAUGAAAGUUAUGGUGCAGUAAUCCUUUCCCUGCUCCAGCAGGUGAGGGGGUGGCAGAGAGGGGCCAAUAAUUUGUCAUUUUGUUCCUAGAUUGCCAGACCAAGAGGAGCUAUGUCUUGGUCUGCAAAAAAGAACCAGACAUUGCCACAAAUCCUGGGCUUGAGCUGAAUGCAGGGACUGGUGGGUUUCUCUGUUGUGUCCCUUGGAGAGGGAGUGAAGACUUCUUAUGCAGUGCCUCUCAACAUAUUCUAACCUUCCUGCCUGCUAGGCUUGCCAUGUGUUGUGUUCCAGACAGUAAAAUUUAAGCAGAAGUUCUGACUUUCUUACUGCUGGGCUAAGGUAGUUACGUACUAGUGUACUAGUGUGUCUCCCCACAAUGAACCUCCCACCUUCUUCCCACAAAGCCCAAGGGAUAAAAUUCAGGGCAAAUUAGAAUCCAAAAGAAGGAGCCACAAAGUGGAAGAAACCUGGAUGCCUGAGUCACUAUGUGGGGAAAACACCAACUAAAAAGCUUUAUGUGAUCCACAUUUGAUAUGAGUGAGAAAUAAAUUUUUGAUUGUUUUAGGCCAUUGAUAUUUUGAGAUUGCAACAACAGCUAGUAUAAGUUAGCCCAAUGCUUUAGGAAAACGUCUAUUUGUUUAUCUAAUCUAUGAAGAUCACUGACUCAUUACUCUGUUUUGUUUUCUUAAUGAACACAAUAUACCAUGUGGGUAAGAGAUAAGGGGAAGGGGUGGAGGGGGGAUUUGGAGCCAGAAGACAAGAAGUUCUCUCUUUGCCUAUUCAUGCGUAUUUAGUAAAUUAACAUUUCCAUGCUGGGUCAUGAUUAUUUUCCCUGACCCUGCCCAGAAGAAAGCAAUCUCCAACUGUAUACUCACUGGCAUUUUGCUUUCAGGGAUACCGUUUUGUAAUUGGGCUCGGUUCAGUCCUCAUGGUCUGAAGAGAAAAUGAUAUACCAUGCUUUAAUAAGAGAUGUUCUGUCUUUAGUGCAAGACCCAGCCCACUGUUUGUAAUAAACUCUGAAGUCUGUGCUUGACAAGUACUACUUACAUACAGAGCAUGUCGUGAAGUAUAACAGAGAAGAUGAAGCCUGGUAAAAUGACACAGUUUGCUUCUCUCUUCAACAAAGGAAACUCUGAUUCUGGUUUUAGAAGGGACCGGCACCUUCUCCUUUCCCUGCCAGAUUUUCCUUCUACCAAGACUGGGGUCCAACUGUGAGCCCUGUGCUUCAGGUCAGGAGAAAUUCAGUAUGUGAAAGCAUUUUGCAAUCCGUAAAGCUUAAAUAUGCAUGCACGUUGUGAGGCAAUAUGGUAUAAAGGAAAGCAGAGGUUUAGACGUCAGUCCCACUCAUUUUAAAUCCUGGGUCCACUGCCCUCUAGCUAGGUAAUUCUUGGAAUGUUUCUCAACUUCUCUGAUCUUCAGUUCCCUCCACUAUAAAAUAAGAUCUAUAAGACCUACUACUUAGGGUGGGAAUAAAAUCAAUAACAUGUGAAUACCUAGCUCAGUGUCUGGUACAUGUUGGUGCUCAAUAAAUGUGUAAUUCCUUCCUUUCCCUUUCCUACCCACAUGCUGUCCUCAGGGUAGAACACAUAGAUGAUUCUUUCUCGUGCCCUGCCUGCCUCAGUACAUUUCUGGAUGUACGGAUUGAGACUUCCUGACUUACGAUUGCAUAAACUCCACAGCAAGUAUCUUUGGCUGUGUUAGUGCAAAUCCCUUGAAUAAUGUCCCAGUUCUCCUCUACGGCAGACUCCGUUGGAUUAAGAAAGAAGGCAACAGAAUGGAAAGAGCAUUCAACUUGGUGUCAAGUCCUGGGUACAGAUCUCUUUUCCAGCCUGUGCACUGUUGGUUAAAUUAGAAAUCUCUCUAAACCCCAAUUUACUCAUAUGGAAAAUGUCAGUUAUAGCUUCCAUAAAAGAACUUCAUGACAUAAAAAAACCUAGCACAAAUAUAAGGUAUUUCAGUAUACUUCCAGUAUAUCUUUGCUUACUCUUAUUGUCCUAUGUGUUAAUCCUACUAAAAAGCCUUGUGUCCCAUGUGUCUUCUCCCACACCUACUGAGUUUGUAAGGCAAGGUAGGUGCUUUGGGCAGGCAUCCAUCCAUGGCAUCACUUCAUCUAUCUUUGCUCAUGUUCAAGAAUGGUUUGGUUUCUUUCAUGCGCGUCCGUGUGAAGAGACCACCAAACAGGCUUUGUGUGAGCAACAUGGCUGUUUAUUUCACCUGGGUGCAGGCGGGCUGAGUCCGAAAAGAGAGUCAGCGAAGGGAGAUGGGGCGGGGCCAUUUUAUAGGAUUUGGGAAGGUAAUGGAAAAUUACAGUCAAAGGGCGUUGUUCUCUGGU
rnacentral:lncRNA from 10 species